UCAAAUGCCAAAAAAGAAAUUAAAAAACGGUGUAAAAUUUUCAGAUAUUAAAUCUAUAGAUUUCUCAUUUCCUUAUUCUCAAAAUUUAAAGCAACGCAGUACUGCUACAAUUUCGAAGCACUAAGCACAAAGCGAAAUCGCGAGCAAAUAUGGCCUUAACACAAUUAUCUACGGUAUUUACCUUCAAGCUCUCACUGCCAAAAAACAAAAACAAAUUUGUGAUAUAACAAAAACUACGCGCAGCGACGAAAGCAGGAGAGGGCUCGUGACAUGCGAACGAAGCUAACAACCACAUCCACAUAUGCACAUUUGCGCACGCAUAUUAGGAAAGUAAUCACCGCUGAAAAUAUCAAAGUGCCUAAAAGUAUGCAUGCGUGCUGGCGGCAAAAAUAUUUGUAUUAAGUUGGGCAAAUAGGGCGGCAGCAGUUUCGCAAAGUUUAGAAGACAAAGUGAAUUUAUUUUUCAAGCAUCUAAACAAAUGAGCAGGUAAAUAAAGGCAUAAGCUGGGGAGACGGCGCACACACAUACAAACAAGCCCCUAAAAAAUCAAAGAAGCAAAUAUGAGUAGUGGAAAUAUCGUCAACAACUUAAAUUUUAACUUAAUAUUACAAACUGGUAUAAACUAUGUUUAGUUUAAAAUUUUCAUAAUUGCUCGAAUUUCAAUAAAAAUUUUGAUUUUAAUUUAAUA